CGUCUACAUCAUUUUUUGUUGUUCAUUUUUCUUCUUUCAGAUCUAAAAAAAAAAAAUCACUCCAUAUUCUUUAACAACGAUGGAUUCUUGGUGAAUUUCGUCAUCUCUUCACAUCAAUCUUACUCUUACUAAUUACUAUCAUCAUUCCUAUGAAACUGAACUGCCAGUAGAUGAAACCCUUUGUCUAGUUUGUCCAUUCACUAGCACAAUGAUUUCUCCUCCCACAACUCAAAUUUUAAACUUAUGAAUCAUCUGGUACUGGUAGAUGGAAAUUCCAUUGUUCAUGGAUGUCUACUCAUCAGAGUUGAUCAUCUACAAUUCAGGAGCUACUUAGAAAAAACACACCCAUCCACAUAAAUAAGCAUCGUCAAGGGAGAGUGGUUAACUAGGGAAGGAUAAGCUUACUGGUAAGAAUGGGAGAGGAUUCAUCAACUACUGUAAGGGUGAUGGGACCCUCUGUAGUCGUCCCAGUCAGGAAAAGCACUCCAGGAAAACUAGCGCAUGGUGAAAUGACCUAUCAUUCAAAACAUGAAGAGCCAGAAAUCUCAAGGUGGUGCAUUAGAGUAACAGAUUACUGAAAUCCAAAGAGGAAUAUCAUAUAAAGGUGUUGGAUGAUCCAUAAUCACCAGACUCGGACGACAAAAAGGAGGCUCCAUUCUUAUGGCGAGAUGAUAAGAAGACCUCUAUUUGCUUUACUCGCUGCUGAAGACUAUUCUCUUUACGGUUCUGUCGAAUCUUCAGACUUUUGCAGAAGACCUCCAAAAGGCCCAACAAGGCUUAUUGGGGGAUGUUCAAUGUACAUUACGGCAACAUUUGAAUCUCUUGUUCCUGAUCAUGAACGUCCAUGGCUGAGGGCUAUUGAAUCCUCUCCUUCUAUUCCUCAUAGCUUGAACUAUCCUAUUUUUUGUUUCACAUUUAGUCAAAAAUGGACAUUAAUUACAAAUAGUGAAACUAAGUAAGUAAUUAA